UAUUUUUUUUCCAUUACCACGAUCCAAAUAGGCUGCAGAGUCCAAACGCUCUCACUCUCCCACUCGCUCGCUCUCGCCAUCGCCGUCGCCGGAGUCUGCAGGGGCGCCGCACACCGCGGCUUUAUCUCCGGAGUGUCCGACCCCCGCCACGGCCACAUGUCCAAACGCUCGCCUCCGCCGCAGCCCGCUCACAUCCCGAUGGCCGAGCAGCGGUGGCGGCCGCCGUACCCGUACGCGUCCUCCGCCGCCGGCGGUGGCGGCGUCGACCGUCGCAGUCGCAGCGGCUUCUGCGCCGCCACGCGGACGUUCCACAGCCUCCGCUCCGUGGGACCUCUCCCGCCGGAGGAGCUCCCGCUGACGGUCGCCGCGUACGCGUUCUCGCUGCUGUCCUCGGCGCCGCCGCUCGUCGUCGCCGGCCGGGGCCCCGCGCUCGUCGACGCCGCCACGGGUAUUGCCGUCUCCUACCCGGCCUUCGUCGCGCGGGUCCGCUUCCUCGCCGGCGGCCUCUGGUGCUCCCUCGGGCUGCGUCCCGGGGACGUCGCGCUCGUCGUGAGCCCGUCCUGCCUCGACGUCGCCGUGCUCUACUUCGCGCUCAUGUCCAUCGGCGUCGUCGUGUCGCCCGCCAACCCGGCCUCCACCGCCGACGAGUACGCGCAUCAGGUCAGGCUAUCCAGGCCAGCCAUCGCGUUCGUGGCCCCCGAGGUGGCCGCGAGGUUGCCACGCCAUGUGAGCCGCGUCGUCAUCGGGUCGGAGGUGUUCGACAGGCUAGCCUCCGCCUCCGCCGCCGGCGGAUGGGCGGCGCCUCCGGCGGUGGCGAUGAAGCAGCCGAGCACCGCGGCGUUGCUGUACUCGUCGGGCACCACCGGGCGGGUCAAGGCGGUGGCGAUCACGCACCGCAACCUCAUCGCGCAGAUCAGCGCGUACAACGCGAUACGUGAGACGGUGGCGAGGGAGGCCGCCACCGACGCGGGCAAGGGCAAGCCGCCGCCGCCGUCGCCGUCGCCGCCGGCCGCCGUGACGCUGUUCCCCUUGCCGCUGUUCCACGUGAUGGGGUUCGGGCUGCUGACGCGCACCAUCUCGUCGGGGGAGACGGCCGUGGUGAUGCGCCGGUUCGACCUCGCCGCCGCGGCGCGCGCGGUGGAGCGGUACCGCGUGACGAAGCUGUCCGCCGCGCCGCCGGUGGUGGUGGCGCUGACCAAGUCCGACGAGGCGCGCCGCCGUGACCUCUCGUCGCUGGUCGCCAUCGUCGUCGGCGGCGCCCCGCUGGGCCGCGAGGUCUCCCAGCGCUUCGCCACCGUCUUCCCCAGCGUGCAGAUCGUCCAGAGUUACGGUUUGACGGAGUCGACCGGGCCGGUGGCCACCAUGGCUGGGCCGGAGGAGUCGGCGGCGUACGGAUCGGUGGGGAGGCUUGCGCCGCGCGUGCAGGCGAAGAUCGUCGACACGGCCACCGGCGAGGUGCUGGGGCCGGGGCGGCGCGGCGAGCUCUGGAUCCGAGGCCCAGUCGUCAUGAAAGGCUAUGUGGGUGAUCCUGAAGCAACUGCAGCAACGAUCACUCCAGACGGCUGGUUGAAAACUGGUGACCUCUGCUACUUCAACGAAGAUGGUUAUCUCUACGUUGUUGAUCGAUUGAAGGAGCUGAUAAAAUACAAGGGAUAUCAGGUACCACCAGCUGAGCUGGAGCACAUUCUACAGUCUCGUCCUGAAAUCGCUGAUGCUGCUGUUGUCCCAUUAAAAAACGGUGUUUCCUUCGUCAUGGAACAUGUAAGAUGUAUGCACGAUGCAGAUAUCCUGAUGAAGAAGCUGGGCAACUGCCAAUGGCUUUUGUAGUGAGGCAACCGGGUGCAUACCUUACCGAGCAACAAGUCAUGAACUGCGUCGCUAAACAUGUUGCGCCCUACAAGAAAGUGCGCCGUGUGGCUUUUGUCAAUGCAAUACCGAAAUCUCCUGCAGGGAAGAUCCUGAGACGAGAGCUUGUACUGCAGGCCAUGGCCUCCACCUCCAGACUUUGACAACAAAAAAAAUACUGUUAUAUUCUGGCAGAAGAGGCGUAUAUGAUUAUAUCUAAUAGGGGCAUGUUGUAUUUAGACUGGAGAUAUAUACCAUUCUUCCUAUGAUUUUCACAUUGAUUCAGCUGUUCUUAGCUGAUCAAUUUGUCAUACAUAUAGUUAGAUAUCCACCGUGUUUUCGUGUUAGUUAGAGGGUGUUUAGAUCUAGGGGUGUAAAGUUUUGGCGUGUCACAUCGGUUAUUAUAUAGAGUGUCGUAUGUGGUGUUCGGGCACUAAUAAAAAACUAAUUACAGUAUCCGUCAAUAAACUGCGAGACGAAUUUAUUAAGCCUAA